AGCUAGGCAAGCCGCUCCUGACCUUGGUCGGAGCCUGCAGGGAGGUACUAGGCUCCCAGGCCUCCAGACUUCUUUCCGGGACUCCUGACCAAGUGCCCUGUGCCUCUCUGCUCCAGGGCCCUCUUGCUUCCCAGAAAAUCUUCUCAUGGUAGCCACAUCUGGGCCACGAAGGCAGCAUCAUCCCCGCCACCUUCUCCAGGAAUUGCCUUAGAUGUGAAAUCAGCACAGUGCCCAGCAUGGGCACCAGCACACACAGGCACGAAUGUUCACGAAGGAUGAAGGUUCAUCUGAAAACGGGCUGUUUCUGGUCGUGCCAGAGUUGAAAUUCCCUGAACAGAAUCUAAAAUAUGCCCUCGGAGCUUCAGCGGAUUAUUAGGGCCUCUCUCUAAAACUGAUGAAUUUGUGUGUGUGUGUGGAAGAAAUUAUCUAAUAAAUGAGGAAUACAAU